rnacentral:rRNA from 1 species
ACGUACGCAACCUUCCCAUAACUGGUGAAUAGCCUUUCGAAAGAGAGAUUAAUACACCGUAACAUAAUGAAGUGGCAUCACUUUAUUAUUAUAGGCAGCAAUGUCGGUUUUGGAUGGGCGUGCGCCUGAUUAGGUAGUUGGCGGGGUAACGGCCCACCAAGCCUGCGAUCAGUAACUGGUGUGAGAGCACGACCAGUCACACGGGCACUGAGACACGGGCCCG